UCUCGCUGUAAAUCACGUGACCAAUCAUUGAAAAUGUUAAUUGCCUAAUUACCAGACAAAGAAACGCCACUUAUUGAUGAUGGGGACUAAUUUUUUAAUGAUCCGGAUUUGUAUUAUGGAUUGUCAAUCCCUGAGACGCAAAAAAAUCGGUUAUUGAAAGUUGGAAUCUCGUGAAACACGCGAGUUGCAUUUUGCGGGAGCAUCAAGUCGAAAAUGGUAAUGUUUGUCGUCAAUUUUGUGGUUUUUAUGGAUUUAUUAUCAGUGACACAUAUUUUAAAUUGAACAUUUACUAAAAUUAUUUUAUUCCUUUUUCAAGUCUUUGGUUGGGAAAGAAGUUGUCGUGGAGUUGAAGAAUGAUUUGAGUAUAUGUGGAACCUUGCAUUCUGUGGAUCAGUUUUUGAAUAUCAAAUUAACAGAUAUU